UACAGAGGUCUCAAGCGUUGUUCGGAUUCAUUGGGCGUAAAGGGUGCGUAGGUGGCGAGGUUAGUCAGGUGUGAAAUCUCGGGGCUCAACCCCGAAACUGCACUUGAUACUGCCUUGCUAGAGUACUGGAGAGGAGAUUGGAAUUUACGGUGUAGCAGUGAAAUGCGUAGAUAUCGUAAGGAAGACCAGUGGCGAAGGCGAAUCUCUGGACAGUUACUGACACUGAGGCACGAAGGCCAGGGGAGCGAACGGG
rnacentral:rRNA from 1 species